UGCAAGUCGAACGGUAACAGGAAGCAGCUUGCUGCUUCGCUGACGAGUGGCGGACGGGUGAGUAAUGUCUGGGAAACUGCCUGAUGGAGGGGGAUAACUACUGGAAACGGUAGCUAAUACCGCAUAAUGUCGCAAGACCAAAGAGGGGGACCUUCGGGCCUCUUGCCAUCGGAUGUGCCCAGAUGGGAUUAGCUUGUUGGUGGGGUAACGG
rnacentral:rRNA from 1 species